AGGCAACGUGAAGUUGUGACUUAUCCUCAUUCCAAUCCUAUCGAAGCUUUAAGGUUACUUACAACGCAGUUCUGAAGAUGUUUGAUGAAGUUUGGAUUUGUGGAAUUUAUUGUUGGUAGAGAUUGUUUCACAACAGCAACUGUUAGAGCAAAUGGAAAAAAUCUUUAUAAAAUCUUUAGGUGCAGAAAUUAAUGAAGAUUUUCAUACUUCAUGAAACUGAUUUGAAUUAAAUUUCAGUUGGUGUGUUACCUGAAUAAUCAAACAAUAGAAGAUGAUGGAAUUUUAUUAAGAAAAUUGGACUGUUGAGUUUUUAUUAUGCAUGCCGACGAAUGCACCACUUUGUUUUUUACUACAGAGCUCCCAAAUUCAUGAACAUCCAUGUCUGUGGCACGACAAUUGAAUAGGGAAUAGUUAUGGAUGUAAGGAAAAAAUCACACUUCUUUCAAAGACAAUACUAUGGAUACUUUCAAAUUAAUUUUAUUUUAUUAUAUAUUCUAAUCAAGAGUAUUGAUUCAACAUUGGAAUUCUUUUAAAAUUAGGGACAGAUGUCAAGGCUUGGACUUACUUUUCAUUUAUUGAUACACAAACUUUUAGAAAAAUUUAUUAAAUAUUGACAAUUUGAAACUGGAUGGAUGCCAUGUGAGUAAAUUAUA